UGUGUCAACAUUUCCUGAUGACGCCUUGAUACUGGACACUUUAAGGUCGGCAAAAAUUAAACCAAAUAAGUAGCGGGCGAUGGCCAUAAACUGAGGUCCGUUACAGUACAUUGAAACGAAAAUGAAUCGCAAAAAUGUAAGUGGCCAGCCUUACUGCAUAAUGGUUACCGCAGAAAGGAUUCUCAGAACAGUUCACAUUUCACAGAAUUUACAGGGAAGGAAGGAUGGAACACUAUUGCUUGCGCAGAACUCACCAAAAAGAAUAAUGGAAGCUCAUCAAUUAUAGCAACACAAUGGAUUAUACAAUGAUAAGUUCCACAACAAAAAAAACGGCUCUUCAACCAAAUGUAUUAUCUAAACAAUGUUCAAUUGUAUUUAGAUAUUUGAGCAGGGAUCUAUGUAGUCAACGUAAGUUUGACGAAUUCAUUAAUAUGGAACAAGUAUAAUAUUGCUACAGUUAAACACACAUAUAAAAAUAUAAGGAGAUAAUAUACAAAAUACGGUCUUCGAGAUAGCAGGUCACGAAAGUUAAAAUUGUUAUCAAACAAAUUGAAUACAAAUACCGUUACUUACGUA